rnacentral:lncRNA from 1 species
GAAACAUCGAGACAAAACAACUCUUUAUAUUUCUCUAUUGAUAAUAAUAAAUUCAAAUAUAUUACUUCCAAACAGUAGAUUAAUUAGAAUUUCUUGUUGCCUUUUGGAGUAGCCUAUAGUUUACAUCAAGAACUCUAUUACCAUCAAAUGAAGAACCAUCAACGAUUAAAGCCGGUAAGAUCGGCUGCCACCAUUCGCUUCUAGAUCUGUCAAUCACCUUCUCUAAACGUUCAACUGAACCAAAGUUUUUAUCUUUCCAAAUCCAUCGAAGAAACACACAAAGGAAUAAUCAAAAACUAUGUUAGAUUUAAAAUAAAUUGACAAUCAAAUAAAUCAAAUGACUAGAAAGGAAAAAAAAAAGAAAAGCAAAACGAAUCAAACAAACCGAUAUUGUAGUUGUAGAAGCCUCCGGCCGAGCCCGCCCCAUGGCAUAGGCAAAGUGAUCACCCGUUUAGGGCCCAAAAUGUUUUGAGGUUUUUUAGUUUAAGAAAAAAGACCCAAAAUUUUUUUCAGGCUUUUUACCUUAAAAAAAAUGACCCAAAAUUUAAUUGAGUAGGGCCUCUAAUAAGAUUGGGCCGUCCCUGUCUCUGGCCAUCAGCUUGAAACUACAAAAAAAAAUCUCUAUUUUUCUCUCU